rnacentral:misc_RNA from 1 species
GAUGAAGAACGCAUCGAAAUGCGAUAAGUAAUGUGAAUUGCAGAAUUCAGUGAAUCAUCGAAUCUUUGAACGCACAUUGCGCCCGCUGGUAUUCCGGCGGGCAUGCCUGUUCGAGCGUCAUUUCAACCCUCAAGCUCUCCGGAGUUUGGUGUUGGGGCGCCUGGGGCUUUUCGACCUCAGGGCCCUCAAGUCCAUCGGCGGGACCGCCAGGACACUGAGCGCAGUAGUAUUAUUUCGCUCGGUAGGAUCUUCCACGGCGGGUCGAUCUGGCCGCUAAACCCCCCAAUUCUCACCAAAGGUUGACCUCGGAUCAGGUAGGAAUACCCGCUGAACUUAAGCAUAUCAAUAAGCGGAGGA